CUCGUAGGCGGCUUGUCACGUCGGUUGUGAAAUACCGGGGCUUAACCCCGGGUCUGCAGUCGAUACGGGCAGGCUAGAGUUCGGUAGGGGAGAUCGGAAUUCCUGGUGUAGCGGUGAAAUGCGCAGAUAUCAGGAGGAACACCGGUGGCGAAGGCGGAUCUCUGGGCCGAUACUGACGCUGAGGAGCGAAAGCGUGGGGAGCGAACAGGAUUAGAUACCCUGGUAGU
rnacentral:rRNA from 1 species